rnacentral:rRNA from 1 species
UACGAAGGGUGCAAGCGUUAGUCGGAAUUACUGGGCGUAAAGCGUACGUAGGUGGCGGAUUAAGUCGAAUGUUAAAGCCUGAGGCUCAACCUCAGAGAUGCAUUCGAUACUGGUUUGCUAGAGGGUGAUAGAGGAAAGCGGAAUUCCCAGUGUAGCGGUGAAAUGCGCAGAUAUCAGGAGGAACACCGGUGGCGAAGGCAGCCCCCUGGGUCCAAAAC